rnacentral:lncRNA from 1 species
CCCAGCGGGGCUUCUAACUGACAGUUGUCGCCAGGCCCCGUCCGUGCGCCGCCUCCUCCUGCCCGGGUCCCCCACAGGUAGCGAGGGGCGGGAGGGGGUGUGAGGGAGAGGAGGAGCCGGAGCCGCCGCGGCCCAGUGCUGCGGCCCACUCCAGGGAGGCGAGGGGAGAACCCCCUUUACUCCUCGCCCCCUCCCAGUCCCUCGCCGGUCCGGGAGGGGGUGGGGCGCCGAGGCCGCGGCCGCCCGGCUGGGCCCGGCCGGUGGAGAGAGGGAGGGCGAGGCGCGGAGGGGUGAAGCCGGCGAGGGCCGCGCGCGCCACCGCCGGG